GUAAACAAACAAAGCUUGGGAGGCGAGAGGCGCUGGGAGGCGGCAGCUGCCUGGGAACAGAGCGUCUGGCGCUGAGAGCAGCGGGGCAGCUGCCGCCUGGGGGAAGGGCCUGUGCAAUAAGUACAUAAUCUAUAUAUGCAUCAUGGCAAAGGAGAGUUUCAAGGAAAGUUUUGAAAGCGGAUAAUGAGAUGGCUGUGCAAUGUUAAUGGGGAGCUCCUCCCAAGCAUGUGGGGCAGCACAAGGGAUAUUAUGAAGAUCCAGACGCAAAGACUUCAGCAGGGGAGACGUUUGGCACAGUCAGGCUGCAAGCCAGUGACUCAAUUGUGAUGGCAGGGCACUGUUCCUCCUGUGUGAUCAUCUGUAACUUGGGAGGGUUUCUCAGUUCUGCAUCAAUAAAUUGGACCAUACUUUGGAUGA